GCAAAAAACCCAUAUUUAGCAAUAUCAUUGUACAUAUAUAAGUUGUACAAGUCCAACGCGUAAGAAUCGAUAAAACUCCAAAAUACUGCUAAAUGAACAUGGCUGUUGUGAAUUGAUUAGUCGGCUAUGACCAGGUAAUAUCCAUUCCAAUGCAGGGAUGAUAACUGAUUUCAGAACAAAGAUACUUCCUAAGAAGAUGAAUCCAUUCAACAAAAAACACUGACCGGUACGGAUGGCAAGCUGUUUUGACCUGAGAGAGUAGAUGAUCACACGAUGGAGACAGCAAGCUUCUCUUACGCCGUUCACCCACUGCACCAACGCUUGCUUUGACUGGUUUUGAACUCUCUCCACUAAUGGGCCCAUGCUUUCCAAUCACACGAGACGAG
rnacentral:misc_RNA from 1 species